rnacentral:rRNA from 1 species
UACGUAGGGUGCAAGCGUUGUCCGGAAUUAUUGGGCGUAAAGAGCUCGUAGGCGGUCUGUCGCGUCUGCUGUGAAAACUCAGGGCUUAACCCUGAGCUUGCAGUGGGUACGGGCAGACUAGAGUGCGGUAGGGGAGACUGGAAUUCCUGGUGUAGCGGUGAAAUGCGCAGAUAUCAGGAGGAACACCCAUGGCGAAGGCAGCAUACUGGCCGGCAUCUGACGCUGAGGCGCGAAAGCGUGGGUAGCAAACAGG